rnacentral:lncRNA from 1 species
CAGAGAGAGGACAAACAAGGACAGACAAACGGAUUAAGUCGAUUAUAUCGACCCCAGUGCGUAAGUGGUACUUAUUUAAUCGACCCCGAAAGGUGAAUGGCAAAAUCGACCUCAGCGGAAUUUGAGCUCAGAACGUAACGGCAGACGAAAUACCGCUAAGCAUUUCGUCUGGUGUGCUAACGUUUCUGCCAGCUCGCCGCCUUGGAGGGAUCAGGAGAUAUUGCCGAUGAAAUUGAUCCGAGUAUUUGCAUGUUUACUAUUUUAUCAGCCGUGAAGUGUACAACGGCAAUUUGGACUUUGGUGUGAAUCGAACUCGUCGAUGUAGCUAAUGACAGUAUAGUUUAAAUGCAUCUUAUACGGAGAUCUACCACAUAUUCCACUGUCUGUCCAUUAUUAAUAAUAAUCAUGUUAAUAUUAAUUAUGAGCAAUAAUGAAGAGAAAGAGAAAAUAUAGUGAAAGAAGAAUAAGAAGGAAAAGAGGAGGAAGAAUGAAAAUAAGAAAAGAAAGACGAGAGACUAUAAAAGUGAUAAGAUGAAAUAAAAGUUUCUAUUAAUGUUGUUAUUGAGAGAGAGACAAAACCUUAUUAACAACACAAACCCACAAACCUCAAAAUAUAACGUUACAUAAAACAGUUUUAUCAAAUAGAGAAUAAUCUUUGCAUCCUAAAUAGACCUCCACUCCCGAACCGUUCCAUCCAUACAUUUUGAAACAACCAAUAGUUUUAGAUAAAGCUGUAUGAUAACAAAAAGGAGGUAAAAAAAAAACAAACAAACUAAAAACAAAAGAGAGAGAGAAAAGAAAAUCCACAGCAUCGUAUAAUAAACAUAUUUUAUUAAUUUUCUUCAUGAACACGAAGCAAGCUUUUGCCGACGCCUUUCAUAUAGGAGCCGGAGAUCGGGGGAGUUGCUGCGAAAAGUGUAAAAAUGUUUCGGGUGAGGGAUUGGGAGCUGGUUCUUAAUUUAUGCAUACGUGAUUUGUUGUUGUUCGGAGCUGAUACAAAUUAUGAUUUGCAAUAUCGUGCAGUAAUCAAUUGGUUGUUUAUGACGAAAUGAUCGAUUUUUGUGAUUUAACAAAACAAAAUCAAUAACAAUAACAAUCACAAACAACGCAUUUCUGCCUCGCCACCCCACAACGCCCCACCCACCCGCCGCUCCAAACCUUUCAAAAACGAUCCCUUAAUUUUUAAUCCAUCCCUUUUUUUUUUCUAUUACAUUUUUUUUUUCUCGUUCAUCCCCUUAUUUUCCUUUUAUAUUCUUGAACAAAAGAUGGCGACAAUAAAUAACCGAAUAUUCUAGAAUGGAUAUUUUGCAUUAUGGCAUAGGAUUUUGGCGUGUGGAUUGGCGUAAGUUUUGGUUAAUGGUGUCGGUGUGGUUGCUGGCUGGCGUUAGUGGUGGUGUUAGCGUGAAUAGUGGUCUGUCGUUGUGGAGAUAUUCAGAAAUAUGGCGGAGGCUAUAGAACGAUAAAGAUGACAGUUCAAAUAUUGUUGGUUAACAUGAAUGGAGUUGGGAUCUGUGUGGGAAGAAAAGGCCAUUGUUUUGACAUGUUUUUAUACCGGUUCAAUUGAUUUAUGUGCACAAUCAUGUUUACAACGUUCUUCUUAAAACAAAGAGUUGAAAACUAAAAGAAAAAAACAAUACGUAAUAAAAAAAAAAGAAUCGAAAACCCGAUUAACAGAUAUGAUGAGGAUCGUUUCUUUUGUUGCCGUUGGAAAGGCGGUGAAAAUGGUAGGAGCCGCAAUAGCGCCGGACUAAAUGCAUUACUAUAAUUCGUUAUGUCCCUUUUCCGUUCUGAAGUCAAAUAUCACCGUGGUUGAUGAUCUCUUUCAUCCAUUUAUGGAAAACAAUAUAAAUACAAGCAGUCGUUUAUUUUUAUUAUCAGUGUUGUUGGUUGUUUUUGCGCAAUCGUCGUCGCAGCCGUGGUUUUUGUUGCUUUUCUCAUUGUUGUUUUCCUAGUUUAGCCCUUGGGUAGUUCCGGUCGAGCAGACAUGUGAUGAAAAACAUUCCAAUCUUGAUACACAUGUCUGCUUUUUUUAACAAGAAGAUGGAAUCUAGGAAUGCAUCAUCCAGUCUGUGUUUAAAAUAUAUUGAAGAAAAAAAAAACCCGUUGGGUGUGAAUUCUGUUUGAUUAAGGUUCUAGCUUUAUCAAUGUAAUCGACCAGAUGAAAGGAUCUUCAAUUAAUUUGAUUUCAUCGACUCUAAACACAUCCCUAAAAUUUUGUAGUCGCUUCGAUUAAAAUGACAAAUCGGGACUUUAAGGAGUUUUCCAAUUCCACAGGGUUAUGGAAAAACACAAGUUAACCUAAAUACAAGUAAACACAAAAACGUAGGCAUUCCACAAACACACUUGUACGAUUCAGCCGUCAAUAAUAUGAUCUGACCUAAUGUAACCUAUCAAGCUAUGCAAUUUUAGUCGUAUUCAGAAUAAAACACUCAUCGGUACUCGGCCUUUUGUACAGUUUCGGCCCCUUUAAAAUUCAAUCAUUUAGGGACGAGAGUAUUGUUGUCAGCGUCGAGACCAAGGAAGUUUUCGAACACGUAAUAUAUAUUAAAAUCUAAAUGAGGGUUUUGAACUCAGAACCUAACGGCAGGCGAAAUGCGGCCACGCAUUUCGCCCGGCGUGCUAACGAUUCUGCUAGCUCGCCGCCAACUGGUCUACAAGGGUCUGUGAAGGGCACGGACAUUGCCCCUUCCUUCAAAACCUGGCAUUUGAAAACUUAUAGACAAUUCUGCAACGAAUGAACAGAUUUAGUAAAGGAUUUGUCAGGUAAUUCGCUUCAAUAAAAUGCAUCAGAUAAACGUUAGAAAAAAAAAUUAUAAUCCAAUAUUGCAGGCUGGAUACAGAUAAAACAGAUACAUGUUUUAUAAAGAACAUCCUUCGUGAAUGUUAAAAUCGGGUCCGAAUACAUGCAGAAAAGCUAAAAGAAAAAAUGAAUAGUAAGGUAACAGUCAUCAAUAUGCCUGCUCCAGCCAAAUAAUUACUUUACAAGACCCAUGGGUAAAGCAAGAUAAAAUUAUGCCUACAGUUAGUCAAACUUAUCACACUGAAUUAUACAUGAAAAAGUUUAUAUUUAUCUCGACUAGAAACUCAAUAACAUGUAUUAUGGAAGUAAGAUAACUAUUGUAUUAUAAAUACGGUAAGCCUACAAAGACAUUUGCUAAAGAAAACUGAAGAAUUCAUUGAAGAAUCAACAAUAGACCAACAUUCGACAACCCUGUCUUCUGUCCUCAAUGAUUAAACAAAUACAAAACUGAUAACUGACUUGGAAAAAAGGGACAAAAGAAAGCAAAUUAGAAAUCGGGAAAACGCGAUACGAUAAUAAUAAUAAUAAUAAUAAUAAUAAUAAUAAUAAUAAUAAUAAUAAUAAUCUAAAAUAACUCAAUGGUAAGAAAAGAUUUUUUAUAGCAAAUAACUGAAUCCAAAAUAUCUACAUGGUGCGAAACUGACAAAGAGUAUAAUGACAUCGCUUUCUGAGAAUUGCAUCAAAAAAAAUUCCUCAAACUGGAUUUUGAAUUAUAUAUAUCUGGUCGCUAUGUAAAACAUGUAUAUGUGCGUUUUGUCCGUGUGUUUGUGUGUGUGUAUGAGUGCGUGUGGGUGAGCACGUGCGUACGUGAGAGUUUGUAUAUAUAUAUAUAUAUAUAUAUAUAUAUAUAUAUAUAUAUAUAUAUAUAUACAUAUAUUUAUAUAACUAUACUCUUUUUACUCUUUUACUUGUUUCAGUCAUUUGACUGCGGCCAUGCUGGAGCACCGCCUUUAAUAUGUGUAUGAUUAUAUAUAUAUAUAUAUAUAUAUAUAUAUAUAUAUAUAUAUAUAUAUAUAUAGAUAGAUAGAUAGAUAGAUAGAUAGAUAGAGACAGGAAGAUAGAUAGAUAGAGAGGCCAGACUAUAUAAAUACGAGAAAGAUGCAACUAACCGGAUUGUGGGUGGCUCAAUAUAUUUUUACUGCGAAUAUAUUUUCAAGCACGGCAGAUUUGGAUCUUUCAUAAAAUACGUUAUGCAAUUAUUGGGAUAAACAAGAAUGUAUAAAAAUACAGAAACAUAUCGCACGCAAUGGCAGACGACUAUAUUCUGGGAUACGUCAAUCUGCAUAUAGAUUAAGUUCUAUUUUAAUCCGCUGGAUGUUGUUUCCAAGGAUUAUCGAUUAAAAUCGUUGUUUAAAGAUUAAUGAUAAUUCCAGUAAUGUUUCUGUUGUAUAGUGAAACUCUAUACACCUCUCGAUAAAAAGUGGUUAGAACCAGCCGUUACAAAUAAACCAGUAGACGGUCGUGGAGAGAGGGUCGACAGUCGAAGAGUUGAUAGUCAAUAAUUCUGGACGAUAUCUUGUAGAGCUAUCAGCGAUAGUAAGACAGAAGAAGUUAGCGUAUCACUAUCCCAGUACUAAGAGAUAAACGGAGAGCGCAUGAUCACUGUGUAUGAAAAUGAGAGUGCCUUUUAACAUAUGUCUUCUUAAUCGGAGCUCUUCUGAAGAUAAACUAAUCAGAAAAAAGCAUAAGUGGAGAAGCUAAAAAUGAUAAAGAAUCUAUUCGUUGUAUAACGAUUAUAGUCGUAUUUUUUUACCCCAUUAUAGGAAUUGAAAUUAGAACAGUAGAACCAAACUAAUUUGCACAUGAUAUAUAAAAAUAACAGAGAAUGUAGUUGGUGCUAUAUAAAUGUAUAAAGGGGAGGCUAGACGAUAAUUGUUAAAAAAAAGUUCGCGUCAACACAAUUUUGAUAAGAAAAUAAAUAACAAUGAACAAAAGCAAAAAUUACAAUGAAAUGCAAUAAAACAAAAUGAAGGAAAAUGAAAUGAAACAAAAUUCAUUUAAAUUAAUUAAAAAUAAAAUUAUAUGAAAAAUAACAACAGCAAAGAUUUAGAAAUAAACUAAAAACUGAAAAAAGAGAAAAAUCUACUGAUUUUACAGCCUACAAAAACGAAAAUUAAAUGUAAUAAAACUACUUCAAAUCUUUAAUUAUUAUUAUUUUUUGUUACUUCUAGUAUCUCAGACAAUCUAAAAAAAAAGGCGG